AGCAUCUUUGUCUGUCUGUAGGUCUGUGAGCAAGUCUGUAUGUACGAAAUGGACAACUAUUGAGAAAGUUGAUGAAUUGUGACCCUGUGAGGGUGCUAGAGUAGCCAAGCCCCGAGCCCCCCAGGGAGGACAAGUUACACGGUUGUCAGGCUGGAGAUCCCUGAGAGAGGGGAGGGAUGACAAUGCAUGCCCCUGAGACACAACGGACGCAGAGAGAGAGAGAGCGAUCCCUGUGGGUGUAACAGAGAGAGAGAAGAGAUGGAGAGAGGGAAGAAGAGUAAGGAGGGAAGCUGAGAGAUGGAGGAAGAAGAGAUGGGGAGGAAGGAGGAAGAAGAGUGUGACCACUCCUAUCCAGCCAUCUUAACAGUUUUCUAAGUAAACCUAACAUGGCUUCCACUGUCUCACACUGAAAGGUUAAACUAGCAGAGCUCUGUCUGAACAAGGUGCCACCCAUCUUCCCCAUUAUCCCCUGUGUAUUUAUACCUGUGUUCUCUGUUUGUCUGUUGCCAGUUUGUUUUGUUUUGUCAAGCCUACCAGCGGGUUUCCCUCUGCUCCUGUCUUUCGAUUGUUCCUGUUUCCUAGUUUUCCCGAUGUUGACCACUCUGCCUGCCCUGACCCUGUCUGCCAUCCUGUACCGUUGCCCCACCUUUCUGGAUUUCCGACCUUUGCCAACCCUGGCCCUGCCUGCCGUCCUGUACCCCUAUUUGGAUUACCGACCUCUUCCUGCUCUUAACCUGCCUUUUGCCUGCCCCUGUUCAAUUAAUAAACUGUUGUUACUUUGAUGUUGUCUGCAUCUGGGUCUUACCUGAA